UACGUAGGGCGCAAGCGUUGUCCGGAUUUAGUGGGCGUAAAGAGCGUGUAGGCGGCCAGGUAGGUCCGCUGUGAAAACUCGAGGCUCAACCUCGAGAUGUCGGCGGAAACCAUCUGGCUAGAGUCCGGAAGAGGAGAGUGGAAUUCCUGGUGUAGCGGUGAAAUGCGCAGAUAUCAGGAAGAACACCCGUGGCGAAGGCGGCUCUCUGGGGCGGUACUGACGCUGAGACGCGAAAGCGUGGGGAGCGAACAGG
rnacentral:rRNA from 1 species